rnacentral:tRNA from 1 species
GAGGGUGUAGCUCAGUGGUAGAGUGCAUGCCUAGCAUGCAUGAGGUCCUCGGUUCAAUCCCCAGCACCUCCA